CCCCCCCCACCCCUCUCACUCCAUCCCUUCCCUCCUGUCCUCAUAUUGGCGUGCAUGAAAGGGCUCGACUGCUCGUGGCCAGAGCAGUGGAGGAUCACUUCUAAGUGGUGGCUAAUAGGGUGGGGGUGGAGGGGGCUUCAAAAAAGACGUGAAAAAGUAGCCAUACUCCCAGAAUCCAAAAAUAAGGAGAGAGAAAAGAAUAGGGGCCACGCUUUUUUACAUUUUAUUUUUCUACAAGUGCAUUUUGUGUAUUUAUUCCCAGACUGCGGUAAAGAUAACCUGUGCGCUAUGAAUGUAAAUCGCUUUUACUUUUCUAUGGCUAGCAACAGCCCCACUCUAGUGCCUUUUUCUGCUACCUGCAGUGUGAUGGGGGGUGUGCACUCUGUUAGCCAUGUUACACAGAUUGAAAUACCCCCACCCCACAAUACACCCCUUGAGGAAACAAGUGUUAUACAGGUGUUAUAAACAGAUGCCUGAAUAUCCAGUAUUGUCUUAAUAGCUUCCAUCCCUGCUUCUCUUUUUCCAGUGUCUCUGUAUGACGUUGUUAUCGGUGGCAUUCUUAUUAAUUAACCCCUCUAGAAGUUUUAAGACCACGAUUUGACUCCUAUGGUGGCCAUUUUUUUAAUGUUCCUUCAUUCUGAGAUGAGUCUGAGUGUUUUUAAGCGGAUGCGUCAGGUUGCUUUGGCUGUGUUGUGUGUUUUGUGAGCUGUUUGUUGUUGAAUAGCUCCACCAUCACGCGGUGUGAAGCAUUUGAUACCACGUAACCAGGCGCUUGAAGAGCAUCAACAAAGGGCAAGUAGGCAGACAAAUGAGCUGAAGGAAACCCAGCCGAUUAUCUCAACUGUAUCUUCCAGGGGGCCUGCAUCAGGAGCCAGAUCAGAGCGUUUCAUACGCCACUCAAUCUGACCGAUCCCACUAAGCCGGCUUGCGUCAAUCCGUUCACAGCACUGAACCUGACCCCUCACUUUCAAGAACCACGUCAAAACCUUUUAAGCAAUUACUAUUAAUGAGCACAAAGCAGCAUGUAAACUCACUUAGCUUUACAUGCUAACUAUAUCAGAACGUUACUAUAUUUUGUUUACUCUUUCAACUUCUAAUCUUUUAGAUUCCCCCAAUGCUUUCAGCAUGACACACAAAGCAAGGUGGCCAGUUAUUACUGUUGAUUAACAUUUACAGUUGCUUGUAUUUUAAAUUAUUGAAUAGAUCCAAAAAAAGUUUUCUUUUUUUCGUUAAGGAUCCAGUAAACAACUCCAAAGAAGAUUGAGGGACUUCAACACAGUGUUUCUAUUGAGGUCAAAGUGAGGACCAUGACCAAGUAUAGUUGCUAUGGUUACAUGUAAUCUGAUAUACCUCAGGAGCAAUUAAUUUGCCUGCAAUUAAACUGGCUGGAUCUUUGUUGAAGAUGUCACAUACUUUUACUUUAAGAUGUUUCCUCUAUCUCCAUGCAGAAGAAACGGUGUCAUUUAAAAGUUAGUUUGUUUAACUUUGUUUUGAUGUUGUUUUGUUUUCAACUCCAUGAACGUUUUUACUUCAGCACUGACAUUUCCUCAGAGAGCUCAAAUGUUUUAUGUUGUUAUGCCCCUUUUAAUGUAAACAAACUCCAACCUACUUUGGUUCGUUGUGUGUGAACGGAACCACGAGUCCGCCUGGUGAGACCGGCUUCCCGGAUCACCAGUGUUGUGAUGCAGGAAAACCCCAAAGAAAGCCAGAAUGAGGUGAACUUGCAUCUUGAUUCAGGCCCCUGUUGUGUUAGUUCCUGUGGCCCCUUUAGGCUUUACACACACACACACACACACACACACACACACACACACACACACACACACACACACACACACACACACACACACACACACACACACACACACACACACACACACAGCAGCUCACUGUGGUAUGAACCUUCCAUGAGCAAUUCCCUCCCUCCUUUUUUUUCUUCUUUUCUCUUCCAGCCAACGGGUUUUUUUUAUUCUGACGCCUCUAUAGCUUUAAUACUUCUUUCUUCUUCUGUUGCCUGGCUCAGCGACACGAACACACUCCCCCUUACUGUAAACGCUGUUUGAGCAUGGAAACUGUUUCUCGAAAAGAAAAAAUGGAUUCCUGCCGCCUUAUGUGCCCUGCAGUAACCCCUCCCCCUCCCUCCUGCCCGCACUUCUCCCCCCGUCCCACCUCGUUCUCUCAAGGUGUGCCUCCCUCAACCCAACUUGAGUACCGAGAACGAACUUUGCAUCUCGUGCGAGUGACGUUUGUGCAUCUGCGAGUGUGUUUGUCAGCGACAGGAGAAAUUUUAAAAACCGACCUUCCUGUCCCUCUUCUGUGCAUCGAUGUGGGAACUUUUAAAUCCUAGUUCAUGAACUUUGACCUUUGACCAGGCACUCAUUCAGUCCCUUGUGAUGGUUGAGAAAGGGAGGUUACGUGGGGACUCGAGAGGAGCCCUACUGUCUACACACAGUCAAUGUUUUAUUUAUGGACCUCUGCACUUUUGGCUGUGAUGACUUCAGUACUUAAGUAGUUACCUGAACUGUAUUUUUAAGGAUUUUAUACAAUAUUUACAUGCAAUACGAUAUGAAUUGAUUUUUUUUUUUUUUUUUUGCCAACCUUUUUUUUAUGUCACCUUGUUUUGUUUUCUUAUUUAAUUGUCAUUAUUUUGGCAUGAUUUGUCACUAUUAUUCACAAAACAAACAUUGCUAGGUAUAAAACAUGGAUGGGGAUGUUCCCACAAUGUUUUGUUUUUUCUGAUGACAGCUGAACACCAAGAAGAAGCAGGUGUAGGAAAAUGUUUGCUGGAUGAGCUAAACUUGAGAACGAGUCAAUUUGUUUCAGGGAACUAAACUCUGCUUUUUUUCUGUAUCCUGUCCAGAGGGGAUUUGAGUCUUUGUUUUCUACUCUUUCAUAGACGUCUUUUCCCAAACAAAAAAUGGGCCCAACAUUUUAAGUUAUUUUAACUUCAGCCUGAAGAAAUGCAUCAUAGGAAACAAAGGAGUUGGCUGGAGCUGUUCUCAGCACUGCUGCUACCGGAAGUAAAAAGGCCAUUUCUUCCCACAUACAGUGUUGAAUUACUCAUAGUUCAAGCACUUUUGCAGCUUGAAUCUACUUGAAACGCUUCCGUUUUAAUCAUCAAGUCCAAAUGAUUUAAAUACCGCUUUAAACAAACAUUAGAAUUACAACUCUGCGAGGCGAGAAACUUCCAAUCAUAAAGUUCUAUCCUAUGUGGCUAAACACGGGCAGAAACUCAUGCUGUUGGGACUGCUGAUUGUAUAAUCUCUUCAAUCGGUUCUUUUUUGGGUCCCUUUAGGAGCAAUUCUGCCAAUGUGAUGCUGCGUUCUGUAAAAAUGAAAACUGGCCACCUAUUUAACGGGGAACUUGAAUGAGUGUUGAUGGUACAUGUAAUCCGUUUGUUUUGUAUUGUUCCAGAAUGCGGAUCCCUUCCGGCGGGGUGCCGUGCCGGCUGUGCCUACGUGUACCAAUCGGUCUUCGCUCAUCGCACACUCCAAAAACUUAAAAACUCACCAGAUCCACGUUCGUCCGAACAGUGUUCCAACAAUCAUCAACGCUCAUCGAAAACAAAUCCUCAAGCCACAGAAUAAGAUGUGAGAAUAUGCCCGUCCUGUAGCUGCUCUUCCCCUCUGCCUUGCCAGCGGCUCAUUGCGACUCCAACAAAAAGAUUUUAUCUCAUCAAUAAUGUCUCCACAGCUCCGUUCUCUCCAACGACGUCACUGUCACAUCACUGGAUGCAGGAACAACACAUUUUUCAAAGAGAACAUCGGCAAGAGCUGCAGGCCUUUUUUUAUUUUUUGUUGAAUUUUUUAUUUUUUAACUCCACUGUGCCUCGAUGUGGCUCCUUCUCCAUUGCAACGACUGCUGAGGCUUAUGGGUAUUGUAGUACUCCCAGCCGCCUGCCAACCAAAAUGACAGAUAAAACACAAUUUCUCAUAAACCUGGGUUGAUAAGUUAGAAACUGGGGGCCCUAAUGUAAACCACUGUAACGGUUACGUUUUCUGUACGGGGCCCUUUUGUAAUCUAAUGUGGAGCAACAUUGAACACCGGAAAAAAAAGUGCAAAUGGGUGUAAGGAUUGCAGAGGAAUCCCCCCUGUCCCAUUUACUUUGCAACCCGUUGCUGCUUUGUUGUGUGAAACAUUUCAGCUGAGACUAUAUUAUAUAUAAUAUGUGUAUAAUACAGCAAAGGUAGAAUAUCUACUGUGUGGAUCUUUAGAGGAUGAGGAAAAAAAGCUAAAACAAAGCAGGUGGUUGCAAAUAUGUGUUGGGGGGGUGCGUGCAGACGGGAUGUAUCCUGUGUCAGUGGUCGUCAUAAUGUGUCUGUGACAAGGAUACAGGGAUGCCUGUAUUUAAAAAGGUUUGAUUCUUUUUUUUUGAAAAUGCGGGAGAAAUGUCUGAAAUGUGUUUUCUUAUAUGUGGUCCAAGAAGAACAAACUGGAUGUGCUGAACAAUUUGGUAUUUUUUGAAGAAAAGAAAACUUUGCAUUACAAUGCCACCAUGUGGCCAUAAUGAUGCAAGUUUUUAACGAGGACAAAACAUUGUUAUUUUACUGUUUAUUUUUUAUUUCUAAAUCAUAUUAUUAAUAAAGUCAUUAAGUACUGUUGUCC
ensembl:lncRNA